UGGAAGUACGGUGGAAGAUAAAGCAGUGUAAGUAGUUUGCGGCUUUGUUCUGGAGGACCAGCCUAAAUACCAUGUGACAAUCCUUGAAUGUUUUUGAACAGCACCAUGACAUGGUGAAAAUCAAGUUUCAGAAAUAAUUAUUUGAUAAGAAUGUGGAAAAUAACUAUUUUCUUUCAACAAGAUAUGUUGACUACCUACCGUUUGCUAGGUAUGUGCCAGGCACUGAGGUUACAAAGCUAAGGAAAGCAGUUUCUGCCUUUGGAAGUAACUACUCUGUAGAAAAAGAUAUAUUAAGAGAAAAAAAAAUUUUUUUUAAUUUAGGUAAGUGCAGUGAUAAUGAUGUAGCUGAGAUGCUAUUAGAUCAUAGAGGAAGGGAACUUAACCUACAUAGGAAUUCUUGAGAAGGUUUUCUGGUGGAUGUGAUACCUUAAUAGCAUCUCAGAAAAUGAAGGAAUGUAGUAACAAAUUUGGAAGAGCAUUCCAGGCAGAGGGAACAGUAAAACAAAGACAUAGAAACAGAGGCAAACAUGUUAGGUUCAUACCACUAUGGGCACAUCUAGUUUGCUGUGUUCUAAAGCAAAGAGUAGUGUUUGAAGUUAACAAGGACUUUGUAUGCCUUUCUUGUGUUCAAGGUGAGAAACGCUGCAGGCCUGAACGAGGGAAUUUGUGGUAAGGAUGGUGAGAAAGGGGUAGUUUCUCUUAGAAAACGAAGGGGUAAAAUCAUUAGAACUAAGUGAUUGGAUUUGGGGGAUGAGGAUAAAAGAGGAGCCCCAAAUUGUUCUUAGAUUUCUGCCUGGUAUUCAGGUAGAUUAGUAGCACCAUUAACUGAGAAUGGACAGGAGAGAGUAGCAAAUCGGGAGUGAAUGCAGCGUUGGACAUUUUGACAUCCAGGUCCAGCAGACCUUAAGAUAUACAUCUUAAUAUCUUAACAUACAAUAUAAUAUCUAUAGUGUCUUAAAUAUAUCUGAAGCAUGGGAGAGUUCAGAAUUAGAGACUUUUGGGGUCAGCUGCCCUGAGUGUCGUUUUAACCACAAGUGUGCAUCAAGCCAUGUCGGUGGUUCUUUGAAGCAGAAUGAAAAUGGUACAUAGAGGAACAGUAGUGUUUAACCAGUGGUAGAGGAAGUCUUACAAAGCAGACUGAUCAUAACUUGUCAAAAGCAAGACAGCCACGAGUAGUAUCACAGAACUCAAGAGAAGAUUUUAUGUUCAAAAUGAAUAAUAUCAAAUGUUCUAGUGGAGGCUAAUUAAAUAUGUACUGAAACCUUGACAGUAGAUAUGACAAUUUGGUGAUCUUUUUUGUUCUCAGGAAAAAGGGAAGGAGUCAGGGCAUAGCUAGAGAGGUACACAGAAUUGAAGAAAGGAUUUUGAUAAAAAUGAAGACUGAGCAUGUUUAUAUACUGAAGGUGACAGCAGCUAACGUUUAUUGAAGACGUACUGGAUUCCAGGCCGUCUUCUAAGGGUUUCAUGUAUUAACUCAUUUAUUCCUCACAGUAACCCUAUAAAGUAGAUACUCUUUUCCUCAUUUUCCUAAAGAGGAGAGUUAACCACAGAGAGAUUGUCACAUGGCUGACAACUGGUAAAAGAGCAGAAUCAGAAUUUGAACCCUGGGGUUCUGACACAAUAGGCCAGUUAUUUACCAAUAUCCUAUACUGCCUCCAUAGAACUGUAGAGAUUGUAGACAUGGAGAAGAGUGGUAAUUAAUGGAUUAAGAUCAGAAAAGACUGGAGGGGAUAAAGUCAGGAACAUUGGUGAGAGUUUUGGUCUUGAACAGGAGUGAGGAUAUUUAAUUCUUGAAGACCAGAAACCAGGCCUACAGGUGGAGGUGGUAAGUUUGGGGAUGGGAUGAGACAAUUGUCAAGUUUAAGAAUUUAAUCACAUCAAACUUUUCCCAUCAAAUACGUAGCUAUUUAUUAAAUUUAUACCUUGUUAUUAUAAAACAUAAACACAGAUAUGGAAAACUGCUGAGAAAUAAAUGUAUAGCUUAUCAUGAACUAUUACAAGAUAUAACCAUCACCCAGGUAAAAGAAAUCAUCAGCCAAUCCAGAAACUCUCUUUGUGUUCCAUUCCAGUUAAAACCCUCUUUAUCUCUCGCAGUGUUAACCAAUAUCUUAACAUUUAUGGCAAUGAGGUUUUUGUUUUUCUUACAGUUUUAGCAGAUGUGGGCAUUUCUAAACUCCACAUUUAAGUGUUUCCUUUUUUACUCUUUUGUCCUUUGAAUCUCAACCUACAGAUUCCUCCUCAGUCUUUUUUCCUUGUCACGAAUUUGAUGAAGAAACCAGGUUUCCACCUGUUGAAUUUCCCAGAGUCUGGAUUUUGCUGAUUGAAUAUCUAUGGACUGGUGUUUCUGAAGAUACCAUUGCAGAUACCUAUUUGGCAAGUGUGUGUUCUACCAAUAUAGGCCCUACCCAAGUUCCCUGAAGAACUCCCACUAACACCUACCCUCAUCCACCUUCUUCACAUGUUUUCUCGCAAGAAGAUGCCAGGUCUUCGUGAGAUCUGGAGGUUAAGGGCGUGGGGCUCUUUGCCUGGAUGAAAUGCUGGUGAAUCUACCUUCUCCUACUACUCUGUUCAACUUCUUUCCCUGCAAGAGAGUGAGCAGUCAUCCCUUGCCCCCAGGCAAGCCUCGUGUGGAUAUCCUUAGUAGAGCACAGUCGGUCUGCAGGUUCCCUUGCCAAGGAAUCCUGUCCUUUCUAAUCAUCAAGACCUGUACUAAAGGCUCCGAGAGAGCCCAGACAGCUGAUGUGUGAGAGCAGGAGCAGGCCUGCAUGGACUUCCUCAUCACUGUGGCCAUCAAUGCGCACAAAGGCAUUCCACUGGCUUCUGAGUCUAGAUCUAUAAAUAUAUUUAUUAUAAUAUAACAAGAACUUAACAAUAAACAUAUACUAUGUACAAUACCAUUACAGAGAACCCUGUUUUGUAUCAUUCACAGAAAUAGCCAGUGUUGCUCCAGUGUGAUAGAUGAGGAGAGAAGCGGAAUUUCAAUGUCGUCUGUGUUGAGUCUCGCUGACCACUAACGCCUCCUUUGGAGGCAGACGCACGCCAACGCUAACAUCGGCCCUGCCCCAGGCAGUUAGAGAUUUGUGCUCCGGUCCUUGGGUUCACACUUGCACCCUGUUUGACAUAAAUACUUUAAAUGACAUACAA